rnacentral:pre_miRNA from 1 species
CAGCACGGAAAAAUGAGGGACUUUCAGGGGCAGCUGUGUUUUACUAACCCAGUCAUAAUGCCCCUAAAAAUCCUUAUUGUUCUUGCA